AGAGUUUGAUCCUGGCUCAGGAUGAACGCUGGCGGCGCGCCUAACACAUGCAAGUCGAACGAAGCAUCAUAAAGGAAGUUUACGGAUGGAAUUUAAGAUGACUGAGUGGCGGACGGGUGAGUAACGCGUGGAUAACCUGCCUCAUACAGGGGGAUAACAGCUAGAAAUGGCUGCUAAUACCGCAUAAGCGCACAGUGCCGCAUGGCAGAGUGUGAAAAACUCCGGUGGUAUGAGAUGGAUCCGCGUCUGAUUAGCCAGUUGGCGGGGUAACGGCCCACCAAAGCGACGAUCAGUAGCCGGCCUGAGAGGGCGACCGGCCACAUUGGGACUGAGACACGGCCCAAACUCCUACGGGAGGCAGCAGUGGGGGAUAUUGCACAAUGGGGGAAACCCUGAUGCAGCGACGCCGCGUGAGUGAAGAAGUAUUUCGGUAUGUAAAGCUCUAUCAGCAGGGAAGAAAAUGACGGUACCUGACUAAGAAGCCCCGGCUAACUACGUGCCAGCAGCCGCGGUAAUACGUAGGGGGCAAGCGUUAUCCGGAUUUACUGGGUGUAAAGGGAGCGUAGACGGCGAUGCAAGUCUGGAGUGAAAGCCCAGGGCUCAACCCUGGGACUGCUUUGGAAACUGUAUGGCUAGAGUGCUGGAGAGGUAAGUGGAAUUCCUAGUGUAGCGGUGAAAUGCGUAGAUAUUAGGAGGAACACCAGUGGCGAAGGCGGCUUACUGGACAGUAACUGACGUUGAGGCUCGAAAGCGUGGGGAGCAAACAGGAUUAGAUACCCUGGUAGUCC
rnacentral:rRNA from 1 species